UUUUCAAAAGAAAAAACAAACAGCUUUGGCCAAGGCGAGUUCUAUCCAAAAAGACUUCCAGAACCAGGAUGUGGUUCUUGGAUCUGACGCAACACUUACCACUAAAGUUUUUUUUCAAUGCUUUUGUUUUUUGUUUACAAAAGACAUUUUUUUAUUGUGAAGUACCCCCUCUUUCUUCUCUCUUGUCUCUUCUCCCCUCCUCCUUUUAUCUGACUAUCCUCAUGCUUCUCUCACACAACCAAGCCAACACACAGACCAUCACGAGGUUGUGCAGGUCCCUUGUUCCCACUGAGACACAUUACUGAUGCUUGGCUGCAGCUGAAGAAAAGGACUACUUCUUCUCUCAAGCCCACACACACACAUACGCACGCACGU
rnacentral:lncRNA from 1 species